GGCAGGUGAGACUCGCAGUUGGGGUGCUCUGCUUCUCUGAGGCAGAGGGACCCCAGCAGCAGGCUCUUCCAGCACUGGCACAGAUGCAGAUGCAGCAGAGGGCGCCCACCACCUUUCUGCCACCGUUUCUGCUCAAGAGGAUGGUCAAGAGGCCAGAGAGCCAGUGGAGAAAUUCUGAAGUUCUGAGCCAGACCUUCCCCUCACCCCAAGAAGGUGGAAGGGAAUCCGUACACACAUAACGUAGCUCGUCUGCAAGCCUUCUGUGCCAAAUAUCGCCUGCCUGGCUCCCCUCUUACCUGUGCACCAGUGAAAGUGACCAAGCACACUCUUACACUCCGCACUGAUGGAUAUGUUUGCUUUAGCCAAUCAGCAAAGGGAUUUUGCUGGCAUGCAUGUUUUAUUCAUUGUUAUCCCCUGUGUAUAUAUAGCAUUAUGUAUUCAACAUUUAUCUUUAUCGCACAGCACAAUUUUCUAUUUUUUUAAUUAUUUAGUUUUUAAGAUUUUCUGUGUUCUGCAUCACAACUGUGCAUGUAUUAAACACCUGUAGGUCCAUAUAUUGUCUUAUAGUAUAUACAUGUGUAAGAUUGGUCCAUAGUCUAUGGGGAGUUGUGUAAAAAACAACUCAUUUUAUUAUUACCAAAGUAUUGUUUAGUGUGUUUUUUUUUACGUCAUUGGCCAAUUCUUUAACAUGUUUUCUAAUAUUCUGAGGCUUUUAUUGUUGCAGUGCCAUUUCUUUGCGUUCUUUGACAUGACUUGCAUCUCAGGAAUGUUUAAAUAACCGCAAUCCAGGAGACUCAGGACAUUGUAUAAUUUCCAAAGAAGGGAGUAUCAUUUCCAGAGAAUUUCAAUAUCCACUCCUUAACCCUAAUUCAACAUCACGUGUAUUACAUUGUUGAUCAUGAAUUUACAAUUUUAACUAAUGUGUAUCUCCUGCAUUAUCUUUCAUCGUUGACUGGAUUAUCAUGUUAUGAAACGACCCACCAGUUUAUAUUUACAUUAUAAUCAUUGAUGUUGCAAUAAAUGUAAGCAUCACACCAACACUGCUUUUAUUUUUAGUUCAAGUUUAACUUAAAUGGUCACAGUUUUGUGUGUGUGUGUG
ensembl:lncRNA